GAUGGUACAGAUCUAGGGGGUAGGGAGAGCAUCUUAAAUGCUAGAGCAGAUGCAAAUGCGUGACGUGAACAGACAAUAUCCAGCACCUUUGAUGCCAUUGAGCUCUUCACAACAACAUUGGUGACGUCCUGGCAGAAUUCUAUUCUCGGCAGAUUAUCUAAGGGCCAAGAAUAAAGAUGAUGAAAAGGCAAAAACAUUCUCUCUCGUCGGCAUUGGUGGUGUGGUGUUCAUUCCUGUAUUCCCCAACAUUCAGUUAGGGGACCCUACGGCAAAUCUUUGGGGAUGAAGAUGCAAAGACCUUUUCAGCAUUUACUGCCUUACUAAAGCCUCUCCUGGUUUCCCAUGAUGUUUAAGGUCCUUUAAAUCAUCCUUGAGAGUAUCCUCGGCUGCUCUGAGGUUCCCACGGACACACAAUCCUGGUAAUGCAGAUCAGGAACUCCUGCUAAGAACUCAUAAAGAGUGGAGAAGAGAAUUCUUUUUCCUCCCCACCCCCAUUUAUUCAAAAAGCUCCCAAUCAGGAGACUCAUGGGGCUUCCAGGAAGCACUGUGCCCCUCCAGGACAUUGGCUAAUGUAGUAGGACCAUAACCUCAAAUGGAGCUCGGUGCAACUCCCGGACUGCUGAAAGCUGCCUUGCCUAUAUCACCAAGGCAAAGUCUGGCUGAAUCCGAGCUGAGCCAAACACCACUGCAUCAGAAGUAAGCGGUGCUGUGCGGAGCUUGCUUCCACGGAGUCUCGGGAAAAUGAAAAGAUGAGACCAGGGUUUACCGAGCUUUGGAAGUUCAGUUUCGGGCAGGUCUUUCAAAGGCUUGAUGAAGACUCUGUUAAAACCAUAAUGCAGCAGUACAACAGUAUUAGCAAUUAAAGGCAAAGGAACCCAAACACACGCUCGCUAUUUCCUGUACACUCUCAGAAUGAAUGAAUGACCAAACUAUUUGCUUGGGAAUUUAGUAGUUAUGCAAAUAAA